rnacentral:rRNA from 1 species
GACGAACGCUGGCGGCGUGCUUAACACAUGCAAGUCGAACGGAAAGGCCCUGCUUUUGUGGGGUGCUCGAGUGGCGAACGGGUGAGUAACACGUGAGUAACCUGCCCUUGACUUUGGGAUAACGUCAGGAAACUGGGGCUAAUACCGGAUAGGAGCUCCUGCUGCAUGGUGGGGGUUGGAAAGUUUCGGCGGGUGGGGAUGGACUCGCGGCUUAUCAGCUUGUUGGUGGGGUAGUGGCUUACCAAGGCUUUGACGGGUAGCCGGCCUGAGAGGGUGACCGGCCCCAUUGGGCCUCAGGUACCGGCCAGACUCCUUCGGGGGGCAGCGGUGGGGAAUAUUGCACACUGCGCGGAAGCCUGAUGCAGCAACGCCGCGUGCGGGAUGACGGCCUUCGGGUUGUAACCCGCUUUCGCCUGUGACGAAGCGUGAGUGACGGUAAUGGGUAAAGAAGCACCGGCUAACUACGUG